AGUGAACGCUGGCGGUAGGCCUAACACAUGCAAGUCGAACGGCAGCACAGUAAGAGCUUGCUCUUACGGGUGGCGAGUGGCGGACGGGUGAGGAAUACAUCGGAAUCUACUUUUUCGUGGGGGAUAACGUAGGGAAACUUACGCUAAUACCGCAUACGACCUACGGGUGAAAGCAGGGGAUCUUCGGACCUUGCGCGAUUGAAUGAGCCGAUGUCGGAUUAGCUAGUUGGCGGGGUAAAGGCCCACCGAGGCGACGAUCCGUAGCUGGUCUGAGAGGAUGAUCAGCCACACUGGAACUGAGACACGGUCCAGACUCCUACGGGAGGCAGCAGUGGGGAAUAUUGGACAAUGGGCGCAAGCCUGAUCCAGCCAUACCGCGUGGGUGAAGAAGGCCUUCGGGUUGUAAAGCCCUUUUGUUGGGAAAGAAGAGCAGCAGGUUAAUACCCCGCUGUUCUGACGGUACCCAAAGAAUAAGCACCGGCUAACUUCGUG
rnacentral:rRNA from 1 species